rnacentral:rRNA from 1 species
GCGAAGAACCUUACCUACUCUUGACAUCCAGAGAACUUUYCAGAGAUGRAUUGGUGCCUUCGGGAACUCUGAGACAGGUGCUGCAUGGCUGUCGUCAGCUCGUGUUGUGAAAUGUUGGGUUAAGUCCCGCAACGAGCGCAACCCUUAUCCUUACUUGCCAGCGGGUAAUGCCGGGAACUUUAGGGAGACUGCCGGUGAUAAACCGGAGGAAGGUGGGGACGACGUCAAGUCAUCAUGGCCCUUACGAGUAGGGCUACACACGUGCUACAAUGGUCGKUACAGAGGGUUGCGAAGCCGCGAGGUGGAGCUAAUCUCACAAASCCGGUMGUAGUCCGGAUUGGAGUCUGCAACUCGACUCCAUGAA